UACGGAGGAUCCGAGCGUUAUCCGGAUUUAUUGGGUUUAAAGGGUGCGUAGGCAGUUUGAUAAGUUAGAGGUGAAAUGUCGGGGCUCAACCCCGAAACUGCCUCUAAUACUGUUGGACUAGAGAAUAGUUGCGGUAGGCGGAAUGUAUGGUGUAGCGGUGAAAUGCUUAGAGAUCAUACAGAACACCGAUUGCGAAGGCAGCUUACCAAACUAUAUCUGACGUUGAGGCACGAAAGCGUGGGUAGCAAACAGG
rnacentral:rRNA from 1 species